UUGGUUCAAAAGUUGGAAAGUUUUCCUACAAAUAGGAGCUUAUUUCUAUUAUUCAGAUACACCAAAAUGAGAGAGAACGCAAUAGAGCGUAGAAAGUAAUUUACGGAUUAUAGUCUGUGAGAUAAACAGAGAGUGAGAGUAAUAUCGUAGUAAAGUAUUUAAAAUAAAGAGUAUUAUUUUUUUUAAAAUUGUAGUAGUUUUUUGACACUAUCAAGUUAUAAUAUUAUAGUGGUGUUAUAUUGUUCCGCUCGUGUAUUGUAUUUUACUCCUUUAAAAGAUUUGAUUUCGUUAUUACUUUCUUGUGUUAUUGUUAUUUACCGUGGAUAUUAUUUCUGGGUGGGAUAUUAUAUUUUCCAACAACGUGAUAUCAGAUAAUGGCCCGCUGUCUUUUCAGUAUCGACCGUUGCUGAUGAUCGGCCGACACAAGAUGUGGAUAGUAGGCGCCGACUGAGUUAUGGCUCAUCAUCGAGGGAUGUUGGGGAUCUUUCACAGGCGCAGGCUUCAUCUUCGCCCGUCACGGAGGCCACUUUGUGCGAUACUGACCUGGCUGCGCCGGAUGAUUAUAUUCAGGAGCCCGACGAGACCAUGGUUACUGCUGGGCAGACGACCCCUUCAAACGAGCCUGCCAGCCCUACUGACGAUCAUGCUGCAGCGCAUCCUCCGAUAAAGAGGCGAUGUGAUGAGGAUGAUCCUGAUAGCGUAGCCGGGCGGGAUGGGAUGCGCCUCAGGCCAACGGCUUCAUUAAAGCAUAC